rnacentral:misc_RNA from 1 species
GAAAAAAAAAAAAAAAAAAGCAGGCAGAAUUUCAGAAAAGAUAUAAAUAUGACUUUGAACGUAGCUCCUCUCAAUACAUGAUGAAAAGCGUUCACAGAGCACUCCUUCAAACCUUUCUUCACCAUGCAAGGCAAUAUAAUUUGAUUCCAAAAAAGACCACAAAGGUUUGCCUAUAAUAAGAUUAUCUAGUCUGAAACCUCUUUAUGCAUAAAAUAAGUGCAUCCAGUCACAUGAACAAUCAGUGAACCUCAAGUAGUAGUUUUUUGCAAUCAUUUGAAGUUCAUCCGAUAUAUGCGAUACAAAAAAUUUUACGGGCAUAUAACAAACAACUUGCCUGUUUGCACUGUC